AUCGAUGAAGAACGCAGCGAAAUGCGAUAAGUAAUGUGAAUUGCAGAAUUCAGUGAAUCAUCGAAUCUUUGAACGCACCUUGCGCUCCUUGGUAUUCCGAGGAGCAUGCCUGUUUGAGUGUCAUAAAACUCUCAACUCCUAAUGGUUUUUAUUAAUUGUUAGUGAUGUUGGAUUUGAAUGUUGCUGGCUUUUAUUAGUCGGCUCGUUCGAAAAGUGUUAGCUGGAUCCCUUUUCUUCUUGGUUCCACUCGGCGUGAUAAGUAUCUUCGUCGAGGACAACUGACUUCGGUUAGUUGGCCAGGAUAAAUUGGUUGAACUGCUUCUAAUUCUUAGACUUAAAAUCUAAACUUUUAUGCUCUGGCCUCAAAUCAGGUAGGAUUACCCGCUGAACUUAAGCAUAUCAAUAAGCGGAGGAAAAGAAACUAACAAGGAUUCCCCUAGUAACGGCGAGUGAAGCGGGAUGAGCUCAAAUUUAAAAUCUAGCAGCCUCAGGUUGUUCGAGUUGUAGUCUAGAGAAGCGUUUUCCGUGUUGGCCUGUGUACAAGUCCCUUGGAAUAGGGCGUCAUAGAGGGUGAGAAUCCCGUCCUUGACACAGAUCCCAAUGCUUUGUGAUACGCUCUCAAAGAGUCGAGUUGUUUGGGAAUGCAGCUCAAAAUGGGUGGUAAAUUCCAUCUAAAGCUAAAUAUUGGCGAGAGACCGAUAGCGAACAAGUACCGUGAGGGAAAGAUGAAAAGCACUUUGGAAAGAGAGUUAAACAGUACGUGAAAUUGUUGAAAGGGAAACGAUUGAAGUCAGUCAUGCUUCUCUAGAUUCAGCCUGGUCUCCAGGUGUAUUUCUAGUUUUGCAGGCCAGCAUCAGUUUUGUUUGGUGGAAAAAGCUUGAGGAACGUGGCAUCUUCGGAUGUGUUAUAGCCUCUCUGCACAUACAUCAGAUGGGACUGAGGAACGCAGGGUGCCUUUAUGGUCGGUCUUCGGAUACGCACGCCCUUAGGAUGCUGGCAUAAUGGCUUUAAACGACCCGUCUUGAAACACGG
rnacentral:rRNA from 1 species